rnacentral:rRNA from 1 species
AUGAAGUUUUCGGACGGAUUUGAAAUUGACUUAGCGGCGGACGGGUGAGUAACGCGUGGGUAACCUGCCUUACACUGGGGGAUAACAGUUAGAAAUGACUGCUAAUACCGCAUAAGCGCACAGGGCCGCAUGGCCUGGUGUGAAAAACUCCGGUGGUGUAAGAUGGACCCGCGUCUGAUUAGGUAGUUGGCGGGGUAACGGCCCACCAAGCCGACGAUCAGUAGCCGACCUGAGAGGGUGACCGGCCACAUUGGGACUGAGACACGGCCCAAACUCCUACGGGAGGCAGCAGUGGGGAAUAUUGCACAAUGGGGGAAACCCUGAUGCAGCGACGCCGCGUGAGCGAUGAAGUAUUUCGGUAUGUAAAGCUCUAUCAGCAGGGAAGAAAAUGACGGUACCUGACUAAGAAGCCCCGGCUAACUACGUGCCAGCAGCCGCGGUAAUACGUAGGGGGCAAGCGUUAUCCGGAUUUACUGGGUGUAAAGGGAGCGUAGACGGCAUGGCAAGCCAGAUGUGAAAGCCCGGGGCUCAACCCCGGGACUGCAUUUGGAACUGUCAGGCUAGAGUGUCGGAGAGGAAAGCGGAAUUCCUAGUGUAGCGGUGAAAUGCGUAGAUAUUAGGAGGA